GACGAACGCUGGCGGCGUGCCUAAUACAUGCAAGUCGAGCGAAUGACGAGAAGCUUGCUUCUCUGAUUUAGCGGCGGACGGGUGAGUAACACGUGGGCAACCUGCCCUACAGAUCGGGAUAACUCAGGGAAACCUGGGCUAAUACCGGAUAAUCCUUCGAAUCACAUGUUUUGAAGUUGAAAGGCGCUUCGGCGUCACUGUAGGAUGGGCCCGCGGUGCAUUAGCUAGUUGGUGGGGUAACGGCCUACCAAGGCAACGAUGCAUAGCCGACCUGAGAGGGUGAUCGGCCACAUUGGGACUGGGACACGGCCCAAACUCCUACGGGAGGCAGCAGUAGGGAAUCUUCCACAAUGGACGAAAGUCUGAUGGAGCAACGCCGCGUGAGUGAUGAAGGUCUUCGGAUCGUAAAACUCUGUUGUUAGGGAAGAACAAAUUUGUUAGUAACUGAACAAGUCUUGACGGUACCUAACCAGAAAGCCACGGCUAACUACGUGCCAGCCGCCGCCGUAA
rnacentral:rRNA from 1 species